rnacentral:rRNA from 1 species
AUUGAACGCUGGCGGCAGGCCUAACACAUGCAAGUCGAACGAGUGGCGGACGGGUGAGUAAUGUCUGGGAAACUGCCCGAUGGAGGGGGAUAACUACUGGAAACGGUAGCUAAUACCGCAUACCAUCAGAUGUGCCUAGAUGGGAUUAGCUGGGAGGUGGGGUAACGGCUCACCUAGGCGACGAUCCCUAGCUGGUCCGAGAGGAUGACCAGCCAGACUGGGACUGAGACACGGUCCAGACGCCUACGGGAGGCAGCAGUGGGGAAUAUUGCGCAAUGGGCGCAAGCCUGAUGCAGCCAUGCCGCGUGUGUGAAGAAGGCCUUCGGGUUGUAAAGCACUUUCAGCGGGGAGGCGUUACCCACAGAAGAAGCACCGGCUAACUCCGUGCCAGCAGCCGCGGUAAUAC